GAGGAAAAGAAACCAACAGGGAUUGCCUUAGUAGCGGCGAGUGAAGCGGCAAAAGCUCAAAUUUGAAAUCUGGCACUUUCAGUGUCCGAGUUGUAAUUUGAAGAAGGUAUCUUUGGGUCUGGCUCUUGUCUAUGUUUCUUGGAACAGAACGUCACAGAGGGUGAGAAUCCCGUGCGAUGAGAUGACCCAGACCUAUGUAAAGUUCCUUCGAAGAGUCGAGUUGUUUGGGAAUGCAGCUCUAAGUGGGUGGUAAAUUCCAUCUAAAGCUAAAUAUUGGCGAGAGACCGAUAGCGAACAAGUACAGUGAUGGAAAGAUGAAAAGAACUUUGAAAAGAGAGUGAAAAAGUACGUGAAAUUGUUGAAAGGGAAGGGCUUGAGAUCAGACUUGGUAUUUUGUAUGUUACUCUCUCGGGGGUGGCCUCUACAGUUUACCGGGCCAGCAUCAGUUUGGGCGGUAGGACAAUUGCAAAGAAAUGUGGCACUGCCUCGGUAGUGUGUUAUAGUCUUUGUCGAUACUGCCAGCCUAGACUGAGGACUGCGGCUUCGGCCUAGGAUGUUGGCAUAAUGAUCUUAAGUCGCCCGUCUUG
rnacentral:rRNA from 1 species